GGGAUUUUCUUUCGCCUUUUGCCUGCACUGACAGUUGACCGUAAUUGACACAAGACAAGUCUAAGAGAAGCCAAGUCUUGCGUAGAGUUUCUGUUUUUUCCCGUACACUUUCUUGUGGUCAGCCGGUCAGGCCAAUGUCUCCUGAUUAAAAUUUGAUAUUGAUGCCAUUCAAGCCAUUGUUGUAGAAGUAGAAAUAACUGAAGAAAUGGAUUCUUUAUAGUUCUCUCGGUUUGAUGGACAAAUGGAGUUAAUG
rnacentral:lncRNA from 1 species